UGCGUAGGCGGUUUGACAAGUCUGAUGUGAAAUCCCGCAGCUUAACUGCGGAACUGCAUUGGAAACUGUUUGACUAGAGGAAUGGAGGGGAGACUGGAAUACUUGGUGUAGCAGUGAAAUGCGUAGAUAUCAAGUGGAACACCAGUGGCGAAGGCGAGUCUCUGGACAUUUCCUGACGCUGAGGCACGAAAGCUAGGGGAGCAAACA
rnacentral:rRNA from 1 species